rnacentral:rRNA from 1 species
GCCCUUGACAUCCCGGUCGCGUUCCAGAGAUGAUUCUCAGUCGGCUGGACCGGUGACAGGUGCUGCAUGGCUGUCGUCAGCUCGUGUCGUGAGAUUGUUGGGUUAACGUCCCGCAACGAGCGCAACCCUCGCCCUUAGUUGCCAUCAUUCAGUUGGGCACUCUAAGGGGACUGCCGGUGAUAAGCCGAGAGGAAGGUGGGGAUGACGUCAAGUCCUCAUGGCCCUUACGGGCUGGGCUACACACGUGCUACAAUGGUGGUGACAGUGGGCAGCGAGACCGCGAGGUCGAGCUAAUCUCCAAAAGCCAUCUCAGUUCGGAUUGCACUCUGCAACUCGAGUGCAUGAAGUUGGAAUCGCUAGUAAUCGCGGAUCAGCAUGCCGCGGUGAAUACGUUCCCGGGCCUU